AUGUAUUGUAUACUUGAAAAUUGCCCCUAUUUAUUUUGGACUCGACUGCACGUUUGUUAUGAUCAGAAGAGUCCGCUCCGCUGCCAUGCGCUGUGCGCCCUGGCGCUCAUCGCGGCGUCCCACCCGCGCGAUGUUGUGGCCCCGCUCGUCCCGCGCAUCCUCGCCGCCGCUCUCUGCCGCGUUCGGGACCAGGACUCCUCCGUCCGCACCGCGGCGGUGGCCUCGGCCUCGACGUCCGCCGUGCUUCGGCCCCUCACGGACGCGCUCCUCCACGAGCAGGACCAGUGCGCGCAGCUAGCGGCCGCGCUCGCCAUGGCCGCUGCCGUCGAGGCGUCCGCCGUCACUGUCGACCUUGCUUCCUACCUCCACAGGCUCCAACCGCGCCUCCUCAAGUUACUUCGCAGCAACGCCUUCAAGGCGAAGCCCGCGCACAUCACCCUCAUCGGCGCCUGCGCGACCAUGGGCGCCGAUGUUGAAGUCACCGCCUCCAUCUCGUGCCUCCGCGAUGCAAUCGCUAGCGAUGACUGGGCAACGAGGAAGGCUGCGGCGGAGGCGCUUGCUGCAUUGGCCCUAGAGCACACGGAUCUUCUCACGACCUACAAAUCCUCUUGCGUCACCUUCUUCAAGGCCAGAAGGUUUGACAAGGUCAAGGUUGUGCGAGAGUCGAUUAACCGAAUGAUUGAGGCGUGGAAGGAGAUCCCGGGUGCUGAAGAGGACGAGUGAUCCUCCGCUCUGCCACCAGCGUCCCAGUCACAACGAAGAUCUUCUCUUACAUGGAGUGCAAGUGAUGGGCGAUAUCCAGCUGCUUCACUGGGCUCAAACUCAGUUCCUUCAGCAACAAGGAAGAGCAUAUUAUCUGUAAGCAGAUCAUCUUCGCCUGAUGUGUCUACCAGUGUCACCAAAACAAAUAGUCCUUCAUCCAUCAGGAACAAGAAACUGUCACCGCCUUCAUAUCACAAAGUGCGCCAAGCAAAUAAUUGUGAUUACAAGGUCAACAUUGUUGUUUCUCCGGAUGCUACCCCAAUCAAAGUGGUGACAGAGGAGAAGCUGCUGAAAGGACGCGGUGUGAGAGACAGACUGGAGUCUAGGAGGACGCUCUUCAAAGGCAGCGAGGAUAGGUCGGCCAAGCUGGCUGCCCACAAAGCAGGGUCACGAGUUGUUCUGUACGAAGGUGGUGGUAAUUUGGAAUAGAUUUUAGAAGUUGAAGGUGGAUCAGAAAGGCAUGCAGUUCACAAAGAUGAGAGCUUGUCAGAAAUAAGGACACAGCUCCUUCAGAUUAAAAAUCAGCAAAGCAGUUUAAUGGAGCAAAUGAGUAUGUCACCAUUAAUGUUGAGUUAUCGAUCGAGUAGCUCGUUAAUUCAUUAAAAUUCCUUGCAGAUUCUGACUCUAAUGUUACGGUUUAUUUUUCUAGUAACCAGAGGAUGACAAGCCUGCUACAGGAGUUGGUCCUAAGUUAUACAAUAAGCCUGAUUUUUUUACAGAGUACACAAAUGCCAGGUUUUUCCUGUUUGGGCUAGCAUCACAAAUGGAAACAAAAAAUUGGACUCAGCCCAUCGUGAAGAUAUGAAGGAAGAGCACUAUCCCAUUAUUCUGUUUUUUCGGAAGAAGACCAUGUUUCUAGCAUGAACAUGCCAGCAUGGUGCCAUCAACAACUUCUCUGUUAGCUCACGGUACACCAUGCUCCAGCCUGCCCCUUGGUUAUCACUAAUUCAGUCAUCUGUGGUGCUGAUUGUGUUCCCAAGAUGCACUGAAAUAGAGCAAGAUCAAAUGAGGAUGAAGUUACUGUGUAGAGAUUUUUGUUCCCCCUUUGUAGCAGCAUCCAUGGAUUUUUAUUUGCGCAAAAUUACUCUCUUUUACUGGUUCAUUCAAUAAUUCAAUUUGUUGCUUGGAAACCACUGUAUAAUAAAUACAAAUGCUAUGGUAUGAUUUUGUGAA